rnacentral:lncRNA from 1 species
GUUAUCCACUAUUUCUUGUCAAACGGAGCCUAAGGGACACAAAAAAAUGAUAAAGGGUCGAAUAAUUUGAUUCACAUAAGAAGUUAGAUCUUACCAAAGACAGUAUUGGUUGGGUUGCAAGCAGCCAUAUUGAAAGCAUAAUCACCGAUCAUCCUUUGAGAAUCAGUGAAGGCAACAUAAGAAGGUGUUGUUCUGUUUCCUUGGUCGUUCACUAUGAUCUCUACCUUAUCAUUCCUACACACUGCAACACAUGAAUAUGUUGUUCCUAGGUCGAUUCCUAUUGCAAAUUUCUUACUUGUUCCUGUCAUUUCUCUCUUCUAAAAGCCAAACUAUGUUUUGAGAUGGAAUAUGCUUUUUUUGUUUUUUUUUUCUUUUGGAAGGUUUUGAGCAUAUAUAUAUAUAUAUAUACUUGGUUAGUUUGACUCAAAUACGUGUUUGAAUGAGUCAAAAAUACUUUGUUUAGUUUUGAGUGAAUUAGUCAAUCAAAAAUAAUUGAGUUUAGUUUUGAGUUUUGACUGUUUUGGAUGAAAUGUGUCGGCUCCUAUACAAGUGAACUACUAUAAACAAAACUUUUAAUCGAAGACAUUAUAUUUGAACAUGUAUCGAUACUCUGUUAAGGUGUAUCAUUCUAAUAGAUCAGUAGUAUUUAAUAUAGAAAAAUUAAUAAUUACUAUUUUUGAAUCUAUCACAAUUACUGUAAAAAAAAAAAAAAACUAUAACAAUUGUUCACAUCAACAAGUGUACCGGUGGUUGUACGAAUUAAAUAAAAUGUGUAUAAAAAAUUUCAUCUAAAUUAAAAUUUGACUCUGGUCAUCACACAUCAUUCCAAUUAAUAGCUUUUUGGAUUAAAUGUUUUGNNNNNNNNNNNNNNNNNNNNNNNNNNNNNNNNNNNNNNNNNNNNNNNNNNNNNNNNNNNNNNNNNNNNNNNNNNNNNNNNNNNNNNNNNNNNNNNNNNNNNNNNNNNNNNNNNNNNNNNNNNNNNNNNNNNNNNNNNNNNNNNNNNNNNNNNNNNNNNNNNNNNNNNAAUGUGUAUAAAAAAUUUCAUCUAAAUUAAAAUUUGACUCUAGUCAUCACACAUCAUUCCAAUUAAUAGCUUUUUGGAUUAAAUGUUUUGGGUCUCUAUAAAUUGGGACAAUUAUAACUUAUGACUUUUACUUGUGGUGAUCUAAUCUAAAAAAUAUGUUGGGGCAUGUCAUUGAGUAGUAGGUAUGAAUUUCACCAAUUAAAUCUCAUCCAAGCNNNNNNNNNNNNNNNNNNNNNNNNNNNNNNNNNNNNNNNNNNNNNNNNNNNNNNNNNNNNNNNNGUUUACCAAUUAAAUCUCAUCCAAGCACAUAAUCCAGCGGCAUCUAAUAAAAUUGUUUUGGUCUUUUUGGCCUAACAACUUCUAAAAUUGCCACCGACACUACAAGCAUUAUUACAGCAUAAAAAUGAGAAAUGGGUCAAUCUGUUAGAUUUUUUCAAUUGAGAUUUUUAGGAUUUUGAAACAAAACAGGAGAUGAUAUUUUGUUAAUGAAUGAAAAAGUUGAAGAACUUCAAUCUGUUCUUAAAAUGAAAAAAGUUGGUGAUUCAGAAAUGAAAAACUAUGUUACCGAUCGAUUAUUGGAGUUUGAGAAGCAUAUGAGAAAAGAAGCACAAAAUCCUUCUUUUGUUGAAAAAUGGGUUGGUUCUAAACGCAUAAUAAUCAAAAUUUGUACCAAAAAUAUUUUCUAAAUAUUUUCUAAAGUAGUCCGGUUUAGAAAUUUGAAUACACGACAAUUUAGAAUGCAUUUUGCAAACCGGAACACUAAUUUCUUUUGACUAAGCAAACCGGAACACUAACGUAUACAUACCGGAACACUUGCUGCAGGGGUGAGCGAAAAAGUUGAAAAGAAGAGUGAAAAAAUAAAGUGUAAAAAGUUAAAUGCGAAAGGAUAAAAUUGGAGUAUUGAAUAAGUUGUAGGGGUGAAGGUAUAAUUGUUGGGAUAGAAAAAAAAAAAUUCCUGUUUAGUAUUCAACCCGGUCCAACCCAUCCUCGAAAAUAAGUGUAUUUACUCAACCCAGUCCAAUAACUACUUGACGUAAUCCGAAAUACCUUAUGUGAUUUAGAUUUUAAUUUUCGCCAUCUAACACAAUCCGACUAUGUACACCCUUAAUUUCGGCCAUACCCACAAAAAUGCAAUAUCAACUUAUUAGAACAAACUGAUAAUUACAAUAUUUGUCAAAAAAAAUAAUAAAUUGAUAAUUACAAUAAAUGAAUGAUACCAUGUCCAAGUUUUCCUCAUUAGAUAAGUCAUCUAAAAUGCGAUAACAAUUCAAAUUCUAUCAUUAUAUAUAGUGUAGAUCUUUCCAUCCAAGUUUAAAAAACUACUUAUAUGAAUCACUUUUUUUCUUUUUUAAUAAUCAAAUUUUAUUAGAUAACUCAACACCAAGUACUUAGAUAACAGAACAAAAGUACAACCAAAGUUACACACACUACUCAAACAAAAGCAUAACAUAAAAACAAUAGUGCCAUUAGAAAGUACCUAAAUACUAUUAAUCUUAGUGAAAUUAACCUAACCCAAAGUAGUAUUAAUCAAGCAAACUUAAAACAUUCUUGUUCUCUUUAGUAAAUUCUUGUUUAUCCUCCUCUACCUUCAAUUGAGCUUCCUCAUCCUCCACCUUUUCCUUUGCUUUCUUCUCUGCCUUUUUCUUUGCAUUCUCAAGAGAUUGAAUCAAAUUCUUCAAGCAAGUUUCAAAAUCUUCACCGAUUGACUUUGGCAUCAAAUUUUCAGCAACAUCGGCGGGCGUUAUAUUAAUCUCUCCUAUCAUUUUUUCAAUAAUUGGAAACAACCCAUCAUGAGACUCAACAUUCCAAUAGUUCUUUGCAAGCACUUUGAAAGCUUCAUAGCUACAAUAUGACAUUUCAAUGUGCAUAUCCAUCCUUCCCCUCCUAAUAAGAGCAUGAUCAAGUUUUUCCACAAAGUUUGUUGUGAAAAUAAUGAUCCUUUCUCCUCCACACGCCGACCAAAUUCCAUCGAUACAAUUCAAUAAACCCGAAAGCGUUACUUUACUUUCCACCGGACCAAAGUAUUUAGAAUUGUAAACAAGAUCCUUUUUUUCCUUCCUUUUGCCAGUGAGAUCAAUAGAACAAUCAAUAUCCUCUAUCACUAUAAUUGAUUUGUUUGACGUCGCAAUCAAAAGUCUUUUCAACUCAUUGUUAUCGUUGAUAGUUGUUAAUUCAAGAUCAUACACAUCAUAGUUCAUGAAAUUCGCCAUAGCGGAUAUCAUGGUAGAUUUUCCGGUCCCAGGUGGACCGAAAAGUAAAUAACCACGUUUCCAAGCCUUUCCAACAUUAGCAUAGUACUCUUUACCCGUCUUGAACUUAAUAAGAUCAUCUAUGAUCUCUUCUUUCUUCUUUGGAUCCAUAGCAAGUGUUUCAAACCUUGCAGGGUGUUCAAAAGUAAUGGAACUCCACUUUUUUUUCGAUGAUUUCCACCAAUCUUCGCUCGGGUUGUUGGUGUAAAGCUUAAGCUUCCUAUUCUUCAUUGUAAUCAUUUUUCCUUCUUCCAACACAUGUUUUAUGUAAGAAGUAGUGAUGAGAUCGCGAUACCUUUUAUGGAACGUAAGUGUUAACCAUUUUUUCUCAUAUGAAUGAUCAUUUUGAGAGUUGUACUUUAAGUUAGCAACCCACCAAACCUUUACUCCAUUGAAUUCAUCGAUGAUCUCCUCAUUGUCACCUAGGGUAAGGACAAGUGGGGUUAGAUUAUUUUCGACAACUUCGGCAUUAAGCCUUUUGGCUCUUUCUAAUGAUUUUAGACUGAGAUAUGUUUUGAUACAUGUGUAAGCAUCAUUGCCCUGGAGAUGCUUUCUUGAUAUUUGAUCAGGAAAGUUUAUUUGAAUGUAAGGGGACAUAAAAUUUAUGAAUUUUUGUAAGUAUUUGGUAACAUAUCUAUGAAGUUGAUUUGUGAAGAAUUUCUCAAAUAUGCCAAACAGAAACAUUAUGCUAGACAUAAUUGACCAUAUUUUUUUCUUUCGGGAAAGUAUAUUUGAUUUUGAGCUUAGUGGUGACAAAUUUUUCCCCAUACCUUACUUUGAAAUGUUUACAAUGAACAAAUAAUAAAGAGGACUAUGCUUGUUCUGUUUAUUUCAUGGGGGUGUUGAAUACUUAUAGUAUAAAGAUUAAUAGGAAUAUAAAGAAUGAAAAAUAAGAAAUAAUUUCGUAUGAUAUUUAAUUUAACUAACUAUGAUCUCCUACUCUGUGACUUUUUCAAAGUUUGUUAUAACUUCAAAAAAUGUACUUCUUCUAUUUAGGAAACAUACAAAAAGUACCUAAAGAAAAAUCAUAAGCCUUCUCUUGUCCUUACAACUAAAAAUCUUGACCACUCAGCUCUAAAAUUUGACCAUUUCGUACUUGUACCUUGCAAAAUUGGUAUUUUAAUUAAGAUAUAUAGAAGGUCUAUUAAAUGAUGAUUAAUCAUUAGAAUACAAUUAAGUGAUAAAUGAUUCGUUUAAUGUUAAAAAACAAUUAAUAAGAAACCAGAAUAAGUUUUUUUGAAAAAAGUGGCCAAAAACACUCUGACUUUAAAUGGGCUCUCGCAAGUGGAUGGUGGUAUAUUAGUCUCGUCGAAUUAGUCGGUUGUAAUGCUGGAUAUCAAAUUUUAAAAUAAAAAGAUUAUGACUGCUCUAUGAUAGAGACAAAACUUCAUGUCUGUUGUGUGUUGAAAUCUCAAAUUUCUAUGUUAGAAAAUGGUUGUUGCUACUAUUGGAAGUGUGGGGCGCUUGAUAGGUUGCGCGAGGCACUUGCCCGUUUCUGUUUUUUAGGUUUUGCCUAUGGUGGAUGCACGUAGGCGUGACGUACGAGUGCGGGGCGUAGGGAGGGAGCUCAUGGCGCUAACCGGAGAAGCAAUAUAAAAAUUGUCUUUUUUCUUACAUUCUCUUAGGGAUGUGUCCUAGGCUUUUAGAGGGACAAAAGGAGGAAAUCUUUGGGAAAUCAUUGACCAAUGAUUCGGUGUGUUAUGGAUAAAAUCUCGGAUUGGGAAACAAAAUUGCAAACACCUUCGGUGUGUUUUGGAUAAAAUCUAGGAUUGUGCAAACACAUUGCACAUUGAUCCCUAAAAAUUUAUAAAUUGAUCCUUUAAAAUAUUAAAAAUUGCAAAUUGCUUUCAUAUUUUUCAAAUUUUAAAAGUGACCCAAAACUUUCUAAAUUUUUAAAAGUGGCCCAAUAUUUACGAUGAAAUCUCCUAUUACUCUAUCGAAACAUAAAUUUUAAAAUAAAGGUAAUUCAAAUGCCAUCAUUUAAAUUGCUUAAAAUUUCUAAUUAUUUCAUCCAAACACACUCUAGUUUCUUCCUUGGUUAGUAUAUAUCCCUUUUCACAAUUUUUAGGAAACCCCACAAUUUACAACAUAGAGAAAUUUAAGUGAGACCCACUCUACCCCUUGAUAAUUUGGGCGUAUUUACCCAACAACUAAUGAAAACAAGCAACAUGCUUUGCAUGUGGUUGUGCAAUCAUACGAGUCAAAUCAGAAUCGUCUAACAUUUGUUUUCUUUUAACAUAAACAAUAUUGUAACAUAUACACAAAAAGAUGCAAGAAAAAAUGAAUCAAUCAAACAAUAAAGGGGUCAGAUACAUCCAUAAUCACAGGGAUAAAGAUAGAGUACAAUAAAGAUACAUCCAUAAGAUACAGGGAUAAAUAUUUGCAAUUCAAUUUUUGUUAUGAAUAAUUAUUGGAUCAUAGGAUAAAGAUCAUAGAUGUGAAGAAGCCAAAAAGGAUUGAAUUUUGUGAAGUUGAAGAUUCCAGAUCAUGAGUAGAAGUGCUGAGAAUUGCAACAUCAUCAGGUUCAUCUUCUUCACAAUUUUCAGAACUGUUAACGAAAGCACAAUCUUCAUCUUCAUGCCUCGGGUAUCGCUUUGAUACCAUGUUAAGAAUCAUGGGAUCAUAGGGAUAAAGAUAGAGUACAUAUUCAUAAGAAUUCAUAUUGAAUGAAUAUAGAUUGAUAAAAGAAUAAUGAAAAUAGAGCAAUUUUGGAGAUUAACCAACUAAGCAACAAAUAAUCAACUCUAACAAACUAGUGGAAAUUUCAACUAACUAUCUAUAUUCUUAACAAUUUUCUCGAAGUCUUAUUAAUUAACAACAUAUAAUGCGAUGAUGCGUGUAAUAGGCUUUAAUUUACUGAAAUAAAAGAAAUAAGUCCAUUGUUUUAUAUCAUUGUUAACAACUAAUUAAUAAGGAUAUUAUACAUCUAUAAUCAUAUCCAACAAUUUAUCUUAUAGUUGACACUGUCACCACCUUAAAUAUGUAUUUGCCAAUACAAUUUGCAAGAAGUUUUAACUACAUAUUUUUAAAAAUCUCAACAAUUACAGAAGAAGCUGUGUUAACCAAGCUGUUUGUUGCAGCAGAAUACCCUAUCUCAAAAGCAUAUUUUGCUAAUAUAGAUGGCCAUCGUUUCUUUUUAUUAUCAACUGCAUAACCAACAACAGUACCGAGUUGCAAGCUAUCCCCCUCGUCGCUUACCAUCUUCACAAUAAUUGGAUCAAACACGUUUGAAAGAAGGCUUCUAUAAUAUUCAAAAUCAUGUUGUUCUGCAAUCACAUUGACAUCUAGCCACAUUAAGACCAAGUCAAUUACUUCAUUGAUCGCUUUCUUGUCUUCUUCGGAAAGCUUUGAGCUAAUCUCCCUGUCAUUUAUGGCAUUACUUAUGUUGUAUGCAUACUUCUCCAAUGCAUUUCUUGCUUCCACCUUCAUUCUAUAACUCUUGUCUUCAUCUUUGUACUUCUCAGCUUCUUUGAUCAUCCUCUCAAUUUCCUCCUUUGAAAGUCUUCCAUUGUCACUUAUUAUUUUAACCUUCUUGUUAACCCCGGACAAUUUUUCCGAGGUAGAGACGUGUAAGAUGCCAUCAUCAUCAAUUUGGAAGCUAAUCUUGAUUUGAGGAAGACCUGCCGGAGCUGGAGGAAUUUCCAACACAAAUUUUCCUAGCAAGUUGUUGUCUCUAGUUGUUUGCCUCUCACCCUCAUAAACAUGAAUUAGAAUAUUGGUUUGGUUGUUAAAAUGCGUCGUGAAUACGUGUUCCUUGUUUGUAGGAAUCAUGGUAUUCCUAGGAAUUAUUAUUCUCAUGAUCCCCCCAUGUGUUUCCAAUCCAAGGGACAAAGGAAUAACUUCCAUCAAAACUUGAACUUUUUCAUUGAAUUCCCCACUCNNNNNNNNNNNNNNNNNNNNNNNNNNNNNNNNNCUGCAGCACCAUAUGCAACCGCCUCAUCGGCAUUGAUUCUUUUGCAUAAUUCCUUGCCUUCAAAGACAUCACUCAAUAGUUGUUGCAGUUUUACAAUCCUUGUAGAGCCACCGACUAAGACAACAUCAUCAAUGCUACUCUUCUCCACACCGCUAUCUAUUAGACACUUUUCUACAAUCUCCAUGCACUUGUUGAAGUGAUUCUUGUUGAGUUCCUCAAACUUUGCGCGACUAAUUGGUGAGUAAAAAUCUAUACCUUGAUUUAAACAUUCUAUCUCAAUGGUAGUGUCAGUAUUGGAAGAAAGUAUCCUCUUUGCUUUCUCACAAGCCGACUUCAACCGCCUAAGAGCUCUUGGGUCUCUACUAAUAUCAAUUUUAUGCUUCCUCAAGAACUCCUUCACAAAAUGGUUCACCAUUGUAUUAUCAAAGUCCUGUCCUCCGAGGUGAGUGUCUCCGGCAUGGGCCUUAACUUUGAUAUCAUCUUUCUCAAAUGUGACAAUAGACACGUCCAAAGUACCACCACCUAAAUCAAAAAUGAAAACAUGCUUUCGUCCUUGAUUAAAUGGUUUCAUGCCAAGGCCAUAUGCAAUUGCUGCUGCAGUAGGCUCGUUGAUUAUUCGCAUAACAUUGAGGCCUGCAAUUUCACCUGCAUCUCUAGUAGCUUGACGUUGUGAGUUAUCAAAAUAAGCAGGAACUGUUAUAACAACAUCCUUCACUUUUGAUCCAAGGUAAGCUUCUGCUAUCUCACACAUUUUUGACAAUACCAUGGACGAGAUUUCCUCGGCAGCAAAUUGUUUUUCUUCUUCGUUGUAAUUGACAACAAUCAUGGGUUUGUCAUCGAUGCCACCAAUUACUUUAAAUGGCCAUAAUUUCAUAUCACUCUGAACUAUUGGGUCAGAAAAUUUCCUACCAAUUAGCCUCUUUGCAUCUACAAAACAAAAAAGAGUUGUGUACACGAUGAGAAAAUAGUGUUGAAUCAUUUCAUGAACUAAUCAUUUCUUUGCUUAUGAAUUAAUCCAAUUAUAUAAAAAUGACUAAAACCAUUUUUUACCAGCUCUCUACCAAUUUUUUAAAAAUUCAUCUCUUGAUGAUGACACCCUGUAACUACUUGAUUUGCAAUUUUCUAAAGAUUCAUGCAAUUUUGUCCCUUGAUUUGCAAAGGAAGAUGAUAACGCUGAAACAGAGGUUGAAGGUUCAUGGCUUGUUUUUACAUUCACAAUGAAACUGUAUUUUUACAUACAUUGUUUCUUCUUUGCAUUAUUAACAACUUGAUUUUCAGGACAACUAAAUGAUCAUAAAAUUUUGAUUAGCAUAGCUUUUCCCUGAAAAGUUUUGUGUGUUAAAUUUCUUGACUGAACAUGUGAUUACUCGAUGGUACCGAGCUUCAUAGUUGCUUCUUAAUUAUUCAGAAUAUACUGCAUAACGACGUUUUUGACCAAGAAAUAGUUGUUUAAUUUCAGGGUCUCUACAAAUCAGGAGUUUGAAGAGCUUGAUGUUUAUCAGUCUGCAGCUUUGUAGCCUUGCAACAUUGCUUUUAUUGCUGAUCAAUUUGACACCAACACAGAAAAUGGAAGGGGAAUUUGAGAGCUUCUAUAAUUGGUGGUACUUCACUUUUACCAUUACACUUGUAGCAUAGCACUCACUAGUUAGGUGGUCAUGAUUUAAAUCACAAUAGGCUUGACUACAUUAUAGGUUCCUUCAUUUAUCAAUAUUGUUCAUAAAGUAACAUCACGAGUGGUAAAACACCAUGGUUUGGUGGUCAUAAUUGAAAUCAUAUUAAGCUUGAAUACUAGAUGUGGAGAAGCUAUUGGACAUACUAGGCACUAGAUGAAAAGCAACUUAGAGCAACUUGAUCAUACUCUCAUGCUGCUAAUGUCUAAACUUGAGAAUUGAACUUUUAUUAUCUCAUGUUCAUGGAUAUAUGCUUGCAUUCGCAGACUUAGGUUAGUUCAAUUGAGGCUGCUCAACAAUAACUGAGAAUAAAGAUUACUUUAGUAAUACAUUCUUGUUUGAGAUAGUAGCUUAACUGGUUUCACAUGUGGCUUACUUUAAGGCUUCAUUUGGUUGAAGGUUUGAUGCUAAUAACUUGUCCUAUGUGUUCAAAUUGAUAAGGGUUACAUAUUUAUUUGAUUGCUUAUGACUUUUAUGUUUUUGUUUGUUAAAUUAUGUUUAAAAGGGUUGAAGAUUUGAACCAUUUUCUGCACUGAUUUGCUUUAUAUAUCUAAGCUCNNNNNNNNNNNNNNNNNNNNNNNNNNNNNNNNNNNNNNNNNNNNNNNNNNNNNNNNNNNNNNNNNNNNNNNNNNNNNNNNNNNNNNNNNNNNNNNNNNNNNNNNNNNNNNNNNNNNNNNNNNNNNNNNNNNNNNNNNNNNNNNNNNNNNNNNNNNNNNNNNNNNNNNNNNNNNNNNNNNNNNNNUGACUUUUAUGUUUUUGUUGUUAAAUUAUGUUUAAAAGGAUUGAAGAUUUGAACCAUUUUCUGCACUGAUUUGCUUUAUAUAUCUAAGCUCAGAUGAUACUCCAUCACCUAGCUCUUCUGUCACCAAGAAGAUUAUGGUUUUCAUUUUCCUUUGUCUUUUAGUGUUGGUUAUCUCUCUCUCUCUCUCUCUCUCUCUCUCUCUAACCCUUCCAAUUAGCCAUGAAAUAAUUUCGGUUUAAGGUUAACUAUAAAUUAGCUACAAAAUUAUUUCAUGGCUAAUUGGCCACUCAAUUCAUGCUCAUGUUUUAGCUAAACUCAUUUGCUAUAAAUUGGCUACGAAUUAGCUACUAAAUAGGUAACAUUUUUUAGAUGUUACUAACAAAACUUUCAAGUGUUACUAAACAUCUUUAGUAACAUGGGCUUUAUGCAACAUAUGUUCAAAUGUUUACUAAAUCUAAAUAGUAAUAAAAUGUUACUAAAUCUCAUAUUUGUUGUAUUUAGUGGGUGUGCAUUAGCAAAUCUCUCUCUCUAUAUAUAUAUANNNNNNNNNNNNNNNNNNNNNNNNNNNNNNNNNNNNNNNNNNNNNNNNNNNNNNNNNNNNNNNNNNNNNAUAUAUAUAUAUAUAUAUAUAUAUAUAUAUAUAUAUAUGAAACUGGAGAGAGUUUAUACUCCAUUCGUCUCAUUUUAUAAGAUCUCAUUUAACUAAAUACACUAUUCAUAUGUCUUGUUUUGACCGUAUUUUUCUAAAAAUAUAUAAAUGUAAAUAUUAUCAUAUAAGAUCUUGUUCGAUUUGUUUUUACAAAUAUUUUCAAAAUAUCAAAUUAUGCAUUGGUGUACGUGCACUAGUCAACUUGUUCUUAUAUUUUGAGACCGAGAGAGUAUGUAGAAUAACAAAGUUUAGAAGGAUUUACCAUAGACAGUGUUGGUCGGGUUGCAAACAGCCAUAUUGAAAGCAGAAUCACCAAUCAUCCUUUGAGAGUCAGUGAAGGCAACAUAAGAAGGUGUUAUUCUGUUCCCUUGAUCAUUCACUAUAAUCUCUACCUUAUCAUUCAUACACACUGCAACACAUGAAUAAGUUGUGCCAAGGUCAAUUCCUAUUGCCACUUUUUUACCAUUUUCAGACAUUUCAGAUCUCUUGCAAUAUUCACUCAGUUCAACCAAAUUUUGUGAAGGAAUAGAAAUACUAAAGAUGAGAAUAAACAGACACUCCAUUAAAUCCAUUUCAUAUAUCUCAUUUAGUUUGACUCAGUCGUGUUAGGGUGCUUGCCUAGUUGACUUAAUAUAGUCUCUCCGUCUCAAAAUAAAUGACCUAGUUGAUUACUGUCAUGUUUGUCAAUGUACGACUUUAGUCGUCAAUAUCUUAAAUUAUAUUUUAUUAAAAAUUAUAAAAAUUAUAUAUUUUAAAAAUAAUCAUCGAGACAAAUUAAACAAUAUCUCAUAUAGUAAUAUUUACAUUUAUAUAAUAGUAGAAAAAUAUGGUCAAAGUAGAUCAUAUAAAUAGUACAUAAAGUCAAAAAUAAGUUAUUUAUUUUGGGACGGAAUAUUUCAUACUCUUUUGGAUCAACUUGCAUGAUUAUAAUAUUAUAAUAUUAGUCCCAUCACUUUCAUAAACAGCUGGUUGAACACUAGGACCGUGUAUUCUAGUGUCGGGCAGGGGCAACCACGCAUUCUAAGUUUCGAUCAAAAUUAAAAGAUUUAAAUUUAAGUUGAAUAUUUUAAAUUGUAAAAUAAAAAUCAUCUUUUUAUUAAUGGUCAGAUCUUGAUCCAAAGGUGUCCAAUUCCUUGAAUGUGUGGCUUUGUCCAUGGUUGUGAAUCCAAUUUCGUGGAGCUAGCUCCGAUAUAGGACCGGUUGUUUCAAAAAAAAAAAACUAUUUUUUAUCUUACUUGUGUUUGUUUUAUAUUUUUUCAAAAAUUAUUUUAGUAAAACAAUCAUUUUUUUAUCAAAAUUCAUCUAUUUUCAAUAGUUUUUAUCAAAAUCCAUUUUUUUUAUCAUUCACCAUCUCUCAUCAUCUUAAAAAAAUGACUUGUAUACCCUUUAAUGACAUAUUUUGAUUCUAAUAUUAUGAGAAACGAGAACUAUUAAUAAUAACCGUAAGAUUUAAUUAUUAAAAGCAAGAACUAAUAUUAGAUAAUGACUUGUAUUAGAUAAUGACAAAAAAGACUUUAAGUGAGUCAUUAUCUCUCACCAUCCAAGAAAAGUAAAAGCAAGAGAAAAAGACAAAAAAUGAUUGGGCGAGAAAAAGUUGAUGACUCGGUGAAUUAAGAGAGAAGAGAGAAAUACUUGCUUAGACACAAACAUUUAAACACAAGAUUAAGUACACAUUCAUCAAUUAAAAAAAUUAAAAGAAAAAUAAAAUUAUCACAUCAAGUCAUAUCACUUUAACUAUUUUUUCUUUAUUUUCUUUUGUUUUUUGUGAGUGUGCCCAACAAAUAAUAUUUGGGUUUGUUCCCAAGCAAGUGUUUCUCGAGAGAAGAAGGGUAAAGUUAAGAGAGAAAGUGUGUGAAAAUUUAGGAGUUGAAAUAGCAAAAAGUUGAAAAAUAAGAAGAUAAAUUUGUGGUGAGUGGAUAGUAGAGCUAGUCAUGACUCAUGGGGGCUUAAUAACAAUAUUAAUAUAUGUAUUAAAGCAAAACUAUUAUUUUUGGUGGAGGCUUGAGCUCCCAAUGUGUUGUACCUGUAUCCGUCGUUGGCUGAGAGAGACUACAAUUAAUUUGCCAACCAAGAAAAAUGAAGGAAAAACUAGUUUCAAUUGAAAAUUUUAAUUGUGUGGGGGUGAGUGAUUUUGACCUUAUCAAGUUGUAAUUUGUAAAUAGUGUUUUUGCAAGUGGCGCUUGUCUCGUUGACAUUAGGCAGAUGCUCAUGUGAAGAGAUUCUACCGUACCCUUCUUGUUAUUGUUUAAUGGAAAUAUAAUUAGUUUAACUUUAUUCUGCUGAGCAUGGUUACUAGGCUACGUACUUGGUUGGAAAUUAAUCUUCAUCUAAGAGAGUCUUAUAAACUAUUAAUUUGUAUAUCAUUUUGUUAUCAUUGAAACAACCAUGAUAUGACACGGUGAAUAUAUAUAAAAUGAUCCAAGUAUUUUAUUUAAGGUAUUGUAUCAUCAAUUUAAUAUUGAGUUUUUUUUUUUUAAAAAAAAAAUAAUAUUAACAUAUAUGAGUUGCAUAAUUUUAUAUAUUAUAAGAGCAAAAUAUAUAUCUAUUGUAAAAAUAUUACAUAACAUUGUACGGAUUACUUACGAAUGAAACUCAAAGUAUUACUAGACACUCAUAUAUAUAGGAUAAGAUUGUUUCAUGUAAAUAUCACUAGAGGGCAUCCAAGCCCUGUAAAUAUUGAUUUUUUAUUUUUUUUUAUGAUUGAAGCCGUGAAAAAAACAAAAUGGAUUGUUUGAAUUUAAUGGGCAAAAAAUAUGACGAGAGAAGGUCCCCUUUUACAAUUAUUAUUAUUAUUAUCUUUCAAAAAUAUAAAAUUUACAACUAGGGACGGAACCAGAAAUAAUUAUUGAGGGUGGCGAAUUUUUUUUUCUUUGAUAAAACUCUUCUACAAUUUCUUCAAUAGUAAAUGUUUUUGCAAAUACAUCUAUACUAUCUCUUUCGUUAGUAAUUUUAUAGAUUAAUAACAUGACCAACAAAAAAUAUAUUUGAGAACUAAGUUGAUUAUUAUUUAAAAAAGAUUUGACGAUGACUAAAAUAAUUAAUAAAAGAGACAUUUUUUAACAUUUUUACAAUUUCAAUACAUUUAAAAAUCAAUGUCAUUGGUCCACAAAUCCUAGCUCAACUGACAGAAAUGCUUAAAUUACUAUUGUCGGACAUCGGGACAACCCCAGUUACUUCACUGUGUGUGUGUGAGUUUUCAAAGACUUUGUCAUUUCGUCUAUCAAAAAAAAAAUGUCAUUGUGAAUUACUAUAUUUUAAGACUAAAAUAGUGGUUUAUCUAAAUAUACAAAAUAUAAAUAGUAGUACAUUAUAGUAGUUAUUAAUUUAUUAUAUGAUAAAAAGGUAUAUGAUGCAAGUAUUUACAUAGAGCCAUAUGGUGGGUGGCGAACCAUAUACAUACAUAGGAGGUACGUGUAUUCCUACCAAUUAAAGAGUAGCGGUCGCCCCUUUUAGUCUAUACGUAGUUCCGUCCCUGUUUACAACUAAGAUAUUGAGCUCAAUUAGUUAUUAAAUUUCACCAAAGUAUAGAUUAUUUGAAAGAACUUAAAGAUUCAAUUUUUAAGUAGAACCACUAUUUAUUUUCAAAAAAAAAGAAGUAGAACCACUAUUUUUGUCGAAUUUUCAUACCUUGUAGUCGAAUAUAUAUGAAUUAUUAAGAUCUCUUUCCCUACAAAUCUGAGAAUUAAUAUAUAAAAAAUUGAGCUAAUCUCUUUAGGCUGGUAGCUGAGUUUAUUAUGAAAUCUCAAGUUGUUCAGAAAACAAAUAUUUUAAAGAAUAGAAAAUAUCAUUUUACUACAUAUGGUCAAUAGUCAAGGACCUUCUAACACACAAAGACACUCAAGUAUCGUUUGGCCCAAUUUAUUUAGGACUUAUUUUUUAUUUUAAGGAGAAGUCAUACCAAACACAAUUUAAGAGAAGUUCUAUUAAAAUAUAAGUACUUUAUUUCAGGCACAGAUUUAGUAUGGGGGCAAUGGCGUCAGCCGACCCAACUUGCCUAUUAUAUUUUUGGUUAAUACUAUUAUUAUUCAUGCAAUGUGACCUCACAUAUAUGAUAUUAUCGUUUUUAUAUAGUCAAUUUAGUACACUACAAUAAAUAUAAAUUAAUAAGACUAAUUUAUAAUGUUAAUGAGUAUCUUAAAAACAUCGACUAAGAAACCAAAAUAAGUAAUUUUGUAUAAAAAAUAUUAUAAAGGUUCCGUUGACACCAGGUGUCAAACUUUAAUUUGACAUCAAAUCUUGUCCAUUUAUUUUUAUUGAUCUAAAGGUUCAUAUUUAUUUACUUAAAAUUUCACAUGAUCAUUACUUUCCCAAAUCAUAGCAAAUUAGUUACUCUCUUUUAUCAUCUCCUUCUAAGGAGAAUAAUUGUUCUUUUUUUUUUUUUUUCNNNNNNNNNNNNNNNNNNNNNNNNNNNNNNNNNNNNNNNNNNNNNNNNNNNNNNNNNNGAGUAAUUGUUCUUAAUUGAAAAUGGUCGUGGUUUGGGAGUUAUAAGGAUAGCUUGGUGGCUAAGGUAAAUGAGAGGGAGUGAAGUGAUAAGAAUGUUCUUAAAUUAGUACAAUGUUUACAAACAAUGAAAUUGUACUUUUUCUUAAAUAAAAUAAUUAGUGAUAAGAUGUUGAUAUAUUUUUUUUAAGAUAAAGUCUUCUACUCCUAACACUACAAAAAAUAAGCAUUUUGCGACAAUUCUAUUGCGACCACUUAAAUAUGUGAAUUUCUUAAGACAUUUGCAACAAUUCAUACGACGGUUACUACAACCAUCGCAAUGUUUUGUUCUUAAAUUUCACUUUACCGCCUUGUGAAAUCAUAUUUAAUUGAUUUAAUUAAAAAUAAUAAUAAAACAGGAAAAAUGCCAAAAAUUCGAGUAGCAAGGAUCAAAUCGACUACCUCUUACAACAUGAGUGUCUCAUUAGUCACUCGUCUACUUAUUCUAUCUUGCUAUUUUACGCUCCAACUAAUAUAUAUUUAUAUAGUAUAACUAGUAAUUUUAUUAAGACACCUUGGGUAUAAUAGUAAUUUCCUUUUUAUUUGGGGUGGGUCAUGGUCCAGCCAUGGCACCCCUAGCUCCGCUACUGGAUACAAUGGCCAUUUUACACUUCAACUUUCUCUCAAUGGUUAAUGCAUCCCUUACUUAAGUAUACGUUAAUUUCUUACUUAGGAUUCGUUAUACCAAUUUCGAUCAUUACACUAAUUAUUAGUCUUUUUUCAAAGUGUGUUUAGUAGUAGCAUAUUUCUUUAUGAUCUUGAGCACUUGAACAUACUUUAGGUUCCCCAAUUGUUUUCUUAUAUAUUGUUUUCAUCAAAACUUCAGAGUAAUUGUUCAUAAACCACUUUUGGUUUAACACUAUAUUUAACUAUUAUAAAGAAAUUUCAAAAAAAAAAAACUAUUAUAAAGAAAUAAAGAAAUCAAUUUCCAUACAUAUGUAAUAUAAUUACAGUAAAAAAAUAAUAUAAUAAAUAAAUAAAAAAAGAUUAUCAGAAUAAAAAAAUUAAAAAUAAUUGUUACUUUAACAAAUUAAUUUAUUUACAAAAUUAUGAUUUUAUUGACAAGAAAAAAAUUAUGCUUUCCUUUUUAAAUUAUACUUUCUUUUAUCCUUUUUAUAAGAGAUCAACAAUUUACUUUUCUGAAUUCAUUAAAUAAAUAAUGAAUUUGGUCAAUAUUAUAGACCAAAUACAUUAUUUAUUAAAUAAAUCUUGGAACGUAAACUGUAUCUUUUAAAAAAGACCGCAUGGAGUAAUAUUUUUUAAUUAACAUAAAUAAUAUAUUUUUAAAGUGUUCGUAAUUUCAAUUUCUUGCGUAGUGUUCUUCUCGAUAGAGAAAUAGAUGACUCCGACGAUGAGAAUUGAAACAGUUACGAUGGAGAUACUAUUCCGGUGCGGUGGAUCACGAUGGAGAAAGUACCAAUAACUACGUUAGCCAUCCAAUGGCCAAGUCAGUAUGUGAUCAAGGCGGAGUGAAAGUGAAAAGUGAUUGAGUUGUGUUCCAUGGCGUCAAAACUUGCCUUUAUAUAAGGGGAUUUAAAAAAAGAGAGUCACGUGCGUGCUAAGCCACGUCCCAAUAUGAACGAGAAUAUACACACAAAAUUCAUAGAGGAUCUUAUAUUUAGCAAACUUUUUUUUUUUGGUAAAACGGUCUUAUAAACAGGAAUGGAGGGAGUAUUAAAAUUGGCAAAAGAACGUCACUUUUUUACAUUGAAUUAUAUACCUAAUAAACCAUGAAAAAUCCGAUUUGACGAAAAAGGGAAUCACGCGCGUGCUAAGCCACGUACCAAUAAGCGUGAGGAUAUACACACAAUAUUUGGCUAUAAAUUACCCCUCCACACCUUAUUUCAAUGUGUCAUUUCUUAAUCUAAAGUCACAAACACAUCCUCCACCCUUUAGUUCUUCCUUUUCUCUUUCUGUAAUUUAGUCAUGUCAAACAGUAGGAGAAGUUUAGGUCGCCAAAAGAUUGAGAUGAAAACGAUGAGUAAUGUGAGCAACCUGCAAGUGACAUUCUCGAAGCGCCGUAGCGGGCUCUUCGAGAAAGCUUGUAUGAUUUGUACUCUUUGUGAUGUAGAUGUUGCUCUCAUUGUAUUUUAACCUGUUGAGAAAGUGUUUUACUUUGACCACCCAAAUGUCGAUUUGGUCAUAGAUCUUUAUCUCUCGUGGGUCUUGCUUCAAAACAAUGGCACGAUGUCAUUCAUUGAGNNNNNNNNNNNNNNNNNNNNNNNNNNNNNNNNNNNNNNNACAAAAUACAACCAGAGCAACAACUGCACCAUAAAGAGUGAAAAGCUCAUUAGAAGUGCCCGAUACGACACUUCGAGAAAGUUACUUGCAGGUUGCUCUCAUUGUUCAUCUUUUUCAUCUCAAUCUUUUUGUGACCUAGAUUUUUCAUGCUGUUUGACAUGGCUGAAACACAAAAAGAGAGAAGGGAGAACUUAAGGGUGGAUGUGUUUGCGACUUUAGAGUAAGAAAUGACGCAUUGAAAUGAGAUGUGAGGAUAAUUUUAAUGUCAAAUUUUGUGUAUCUUCUCACUCAUAUUGGGAUGUGGCAUAACACGUAUGUGAAUCUCUUUUUCAUCAAAUUUGAUUUUUCAUGGUUUGUAUGGUAUGUAAUUCAAUGUAAAAAAGUGGCACUCUUUUCUUUUGCCAAUUUGUAUAUCCAUGUUAUUACUAAUAAAAAAAUCAUUUUUACUUUUAUAUGGUAAACUCAUUUUAUUAUUUUAUACGAUAAUUUCUCCUCAACUCAUUCAUUAUGGUCAAUUCCUAAAAUAAAGGUGAAAAACAUAAAAAUUAAAAGGCUUAAUUGCACAUUUGGUCCCUUAUCUUUAUUUUAGGUUUUAAGUUGGUCUCUUAUUUUUUAAAAGUUUCAAAUUGGUCCCUUAUCUUUUCUUUUGUUUAAUAAGUUAGUUCCUCCCAUCAUAUUUUUUACUAACGCCGUUAGAUGUGGACAUGUGGCAAACGGUGAUGCACACUUGGACAAACACGUGGAUUUUUUUGCCAUAUCAUUUGCCACAUCAUUUUCUUUUAAUUUUUAAAUUAAAAAUAAAUAAAAAACAAAACUAUUUUUUUUUAUUAAAACUAAAUCUUUUUUAUAAUAUUGCACCUUCGCAAUUUUCCCCUAUUUUCUCGCGGCUCUAGCUCGAGUAACAACCGUUUUCUCAACCUCAUUCUUUCUCUUCUCUUCUUAGUUUCCGAUUGAUUCGGCGACGUUGGAGCAAACCAGGGCCGGCCCAACAUAAUGUGGGGCAUGAAGCGGUCAUUAAUAUGAGGCCUAACAUAAAAAUGUAUAUUUUUUAAGCAAAAAAAUAUUGUACGAAAGAAAAACGUAAAAUUUAUAUUUAAAAAUAAAUAAAUAAACAAUUUUUGGUAAGAAAGUUAAAAAUAUAUCAAUUAUAUUUAUAAUAAAAAUAAAAUACAUAUUAGAAAAUACUUUUAUAAUAUGAACAAAAUAAAAAAUAUUAUUUUUAUAUUGCAUAAAAAAUAUUGUUUUUAUUGCAUAAUUAAUAUUUUUUUGAAAAAACCAAAAUGAGAUAUAUUAACAAAAAAGCCUACUCAGCACAAGACGUGCCAAGAUAGACCAGAGUUUACAAAAAAUCACAAAAAGAAAUACAAACAAUCAUACAAGGCCCAAAUAUAGUAAAAGACUAGACCACCAACUAUGGUAGUUUAAGAUUAAGGUAACACUUGUCGUCUUCAACCACUUAUAAGAAAAAAGCUUGAUCUUGUCCAACAACUGAUGAAGAGUACUGUCUGAGCCUCUGAACAACCUGUGAUUUCUUUCUGUCAACACAACCCAUAUGCUAGCAACUUAUUUGUUUAAUUCAUUUUAAUUUAUUUAUUUCAUUUUCAUAAUUUUUUGAUUAUUUAAGUUUAUCUAUAUUUCAUAUUCAAUAUUUAGGCUGUAUGUAAUUAAAUUUAAAUAAAAUAUUAAAAAAAUUGUUAAGAAUAAAUUGGUACAAAAAAUAAAAUAAAACUAAAAGUAGUAGUUAUAUUUUGUAUUUUCAUUUUAUAUUAUGGUAUAGACCAAUAACUUUUGUAAUUUGUUUGAAUUUGAAUAAAUAAUGUUCUCUUUGUUUUUUUAAGCAUAAAUAAAUAAUAUUCUCUAAACAAUUAGAACAUUACUUACCAAACAAAAAAUAUAUUAGAACAUUAUCUAUAACAAUAUAUAAAAAGGAUAGGUGAAUUUGGACUGGAUUUUUUAUAUUGUUCAAAUUACCCUUCAUUUUAAAUUCAAAUAAUUCAAUGGUUCUUUCUUAUUAAGGUCUUCCAACCAGGCGCGGAAAAAAACUGACUUUGGCAAGGAUCGAACACAGAUCCUGCCAAUAUCAAAAUGAUGCAUUCAAACAAAUGGACUACAUGGAUUGUAGUGAUUUGUAACGGAGGCUUACAUAUAUAAAUUUGUUUUUGGGCCUAAACCCUACAUUAAAAAAUAUAAAAAAAUUUGGGGCCUAAAGCUAGGGCUUGGGCCGCUUUACCUUUUGGCCGGUCCUGGAGCAAACAAAACCUUAACUGGAAAUUUUUUUUUUACCCCAACAAUCUUCAUUCUAUCCCAACAUAUUUUUCAAAAUACUCAUUAUACCCUUAUAAAAAAUUAGUAUAUUUUAAUAUUUUUUAAUUUUGUCGUAUUAUAUUGUUCCGGUAGACUGUUCAUCCUCCCAAAAAACUGUUCCGGUAAGUAUUUAUCUUUACCGGUAUGUUAAUUUUACUAGCACACUUUUUAACAAGUGUUCCGAAAUGCAAAAUUUACCGGAAUACUCUUUAAAAAGUGCACCGGUUCGUUUCGUUUAUCGUUAUACAUACCAGAACACUUUGUCAAAGUGUUCCGGUAGUUUAAAGUGUUCUGGUAUGCUAAUAAGUGUACCGGUAUGUAACAACGCAAAAAGUGUUCCGGUAUUUAACAAGUGUAUCGGUAUGUUAAUAUCAAUAAUUUUAAUUUUAAUUUGUUGUUAUAUUUUUAAACAGAUAUGACUUAUCUCGGCGUUACAAGUCAAAUAUUGGUAGAUACUACAUAUGUUUUUACAACUGAUCAAAAAUUUGCUACACUAGAUGUUGGAGAUGCCAACAAAGUCGGUAUUAUCAUUACUCGGUCGGAUAAAAAGAACGGAAUAAGAGGAAGAAAUUACAAGUUAAUUUUGGGUUGUGACAAAGGUGGAAAGUAUGACUCUUCAGAAAGUUCCAUGACAACUGCAUCUAAAAAGUGUUACUGUCCAUUCAAAAUUAGAGUCGCACCUUCAACAGAUGGUUCAGGAUGGAAAGUUCAGGUUAUUCAUGGAGUUCACAACCAGGGCUACCUGACCAAUAUCAUGGUCAUCCUCGCAAGGCACGUUUAACCGCUGAUGAAAACAAACUUGUUGAAGAUUUGAAAAAGCGUCAUGUAGCACUAAGGCACAUCGUUUUAGAUUUGAAAGAUCAAAAUUCAGAGUCUGUUGUUGAUGCCAAGCAUGUAUAUAGGAAAAGACACAUGAUGCAAAAAUAGGAAAGAUGCUCCAGAACAGGGUUGCAACACUUGCUGCAGAUGAUGCAAAAUAUGUCAGCUAGAAUAGAAGAAAAGAUGAUGGCUCCGAUGUUUUGAGUGAUAUUUUUUGGGCGCAUCCAAAUUCAAUCAAGUUGUUGAACUUGUUUCCCAUUGUUUUGGUUAUGGACUGCACAUACAAAACUAAUAAAUAUAGACAGCCACUGCUUGAAAUUACUAGCAUAACGUCAACUAACAUGACAUUUGCUGAGAAGACGAACAAUUAUCAUUGGGCGUUAGGGAAGCUGGAAUUGCUUACUAAGCAAGAUAUAUAUUUCCUAAACUAAUUUUGACCGAUAGGGAGUUUGCUUUGAUGAAUGCAAUUAAAGUUAUAUUUCCACAUACUGUUAAUAUGCUUUGUACGUGGCACAUAAUCAAAAAUGUGAAUACGAGAUGCACCCUGCAUAUACCUAAGGAUAUGCGACAAAAGGUGAAAAAUUUGUGGAAAAAUGUUGUUGAAAGUCCAUAUGAGGUGGAGUAUUAGCAGCGGUUGAAUGCGUUUCAGCAAGCAUAUGUUAAUUCAAGCAAGUUUGUUGACUAUGUCAAUAACACCUGGUUGACCCCUCACAAAGAACAAUUUGUUGCAGCAUGGACCAAUCAAGUGAUGCAUUUAGGAAACACAACGACUAAUAGGUAUGAUUUUGUCUUUUUCAAAAUUGUAAUUAUAUUUUUAUUUUAUUUUUGCGUUUAAUUUACUGUUGUUUGCAAUUUGAUAUUUUGAGCUGAGUCUGCAAUUAGAAACUGAAGCAAAUGUUGGAACACAGCAAAGGCGAUUUAUGCAAGUGUUUGGAAGCCAUGAAUAACAACAUAAUACUAGAAGUUGACAAAAUUAAAGUGUCAUUUCAAAAAUGUUUUUACUAUGCAAAGAAGACACACAACAAUCUAUUUUUUCAAAAUUUGAGAAACUUUGUCUCCAGGACCGCUAUGACAUUAAUUUCUGAUGAGAUGAAGAGAAUUGGCAUUGUUGGAACAAAUAAAAACUUUUGUGGUUGCAAACUUAGGUCAACAAGUGAGUUGCCUUGUACUUGUGAAUUGGGUGGGUAUACAACCAGCGGUGUAUCGAUACCAUUAGAUUCAGUUCACAGUUACUGGAAGAAAUUGACUAUGGAAGAACCACUAGAGAAUGACACGGAGCAUGAAUAUGAGUUGGACAUGAGUCAUGCAAUGGAGGCAAUAUGGACUCAAUAAGUGGCGUAGAGCGGUGGCGACAAAGGACAGAAGCAGCGGUGAAUAAGUGGACGGUGGAAAAUCAUGGGAUGAGUGGUGGUCGCUGGUGGAUUGGAUUUUUUUUUAUUGCAACAGUGAGGAAGAAAUAUGGUACAAACAAAUUUACGAUAAGCUCACUUUCCCACCAUGGGAGACCUACUAAUAGUGUCCCAUCCUAGAAGGCGCCGUCAAAGGGACAAUAUUAUGAUUUUUCUCCCUACACUAACGACAAUAACUCUCAUCAUUAAUUAGGAGUUGUCAACUUGUCAUGAGUGUUGUUUGGUAUGGAUUGAGUGCUACCAUUUUUUUAAAGGAGAAUGUUAACAUAUGCCCUAAAGAUACAUGUUAAGAAGAUAAAUAUGGUAAAUAUUAANNNNNNNNNNNNNNNNNNNNNNNNNNNNNNNNNNNNNNNNNNNNNNNNNNNNNNNNNNNNNNNNNNNNNNNNNNNNNNNNNNNNNNNNNNNNNNNNNNNNNNNNNNNNNNNNNNNNNNNNNNNNNNNNNNNNNNNNNNNNNNNNNNNNNNNNNNNNNNNNNNNNNNNNNNNNNNNNNNNNNNNNNNNNNNNNNNNNNNNNNNNNNNNNNNNNNNNNNNNNNNNNNNNNNNNNNNNNNNNNNNNNNNNNNNNNNNNNNNNNNNNNNNNNNNNNNNNNNNNNNNNNNNNNNNNNNNNNNNNNNNNNNNNNNNNNNNNNNNNNNNNNNNNNNNNNNNNNNNNNNNNNNNNNNNNNNNNNNNNNNNNNNNNNNNNNNNNNNNNNNNNNNNNNNNNNNNNNNNNNNNNNNNNNNNNNNNNNNNNNNNNNNNNNNNNNNNNNNNNNNNNNNNNNNNNNNNNNNNNNNNNNNNNNNNNNNNNNNNNNNNNNNNNNNNNNNNNNNNNNNNNNNNNNNNNNNNNNNNNNNNNNNNNNNNNCACCUCCCUUUUUGCUUCCUGAUCCGAUCCAAUUCUUUAUUAGCAUUUAUUUUGUAACUUAUAAAUUAUUUGGUAGUUUCCGGACAUUUCUGAAAUACAUAAAAAUAAUAGUAAUAAUACUACGAAAAAUGUAAAGAAAUAGUAGAAUACUAACCUAAUUUUAUUAAAUAAAUAGUACAUUUUUCGGUGUUAUCAAAAAUCAUGGAAUGAGUGGUGAAAGAAAUAUGGUACAAAAAAAUUUACGAUAAGCUCACUUUCCCACCAUGGGAGACCUACUAUAGUGUCCCAUCCUAGAAGGCCCCGUCAAAGGGACAAUAUUAUGAUUUUUCUCCCUACACUAAAGACAAUAUAUAUUUUGAUUAUUGUCUCAUCAUUAAUUAGGAGUUGUCAUGAGUGUUGUUUGGUACGGAUUGAGUGCUACCAUUAUUUUUUUAAAGGAGAAUGUUAACAUAUGCUCUAAAGAUACAUGUUAAGAAGAUAAAUAUGAUAAAUAUUAAAUGUUAACUUGUGAAUUCAAGAAAUACUUGACAUGGUCACCUUAUACAUGAAUUUCUUAAUACAAUUUGCAUGAAGUUUUAACUAUUAAACACAAUUUCAAUUAUGGGAGAAACUAACCCAAUGAUGUUACCAGUUGCAAUUGCAUAUACUACAUUGAAGGUAUAAUUCGCUAAUAAUGAUAUCCAACGACUCUUUUUAUUCUUAACAGGAUAACCAACAACAGUACCGGUUUGUGCAUCAUUUUCCUCCGUUAUCAUCUUCAAAAUAAUCGGAUCAAAUACACUUGAAAGAAUGCUUCGAAAAUGCUCAAAAUCAUGUUUUUCGGCAGUAUCAUUAACAUCAAGCCACAAUAAAACCAAAUCAAUUUUUUUAUUGAUCUCUUUCUUGUCUUUAGAAGAAAGAUUUGAUCCAAUCUCCUUAUCAUUUAUAACUUUCCUCAUAUUGGAUGCAUAAGUCUCCAAUGCAUUUCUUGCGUCUACCUUCUUCUGAUACCUCUUUUCGUCAUCUUUGCACUUCUCAGCUUCUUUGAUCAUCCUCUCAAUUUCCUCCUUUGAAAGUCUUCCAUUGUCACUUAUUAUUUUAACCUUCAUGUUAACCCCGGACAAUUUUUCCAAGGCAGAGACGUGUAAGAUGCCAUCAUCAUCAAUUUGGAAGCUGACCUUGAUUUGAGGAAGACCUACCGGAGCUGGAGGAAUUUCCAACACAAAUUUUCCUAGCAAGUUGUUGUCUCUAGUUGUUUGUCUCACACCCUCAUAAACAUGAAUUAGAAUAUUGGUUUGGUUGUUAAAAUGAGUCGUGAAGACGUGCUCCAUGUUCGUAGGAAUUUUGGUAUUCCUAGGAAUUAUUAUUUCCAUGAUUCCCCCGUGAGUAUCCAAUCCAAGAGACAAAGGAAUAACUUCCCUGAAUAGCAAAUCUUGCACCUUUUCACUAAACUCACCACUCAAUAUCGAAGCUUGGACCACAGCACCAUGUGCAACUGCCUCAUCUGCAUUUAUGCUUUUGCAUAAAUUUUUCCCUUCAAAGAAGUCACUCAAUAGUUGUUGCACUUUUACAAUCCUAGUAGAGCCACCAACAAGGACAACAUCAUGAAUGCUACUCUUCUCCAUCCUACUCUCUGCGAAACAUUUUUCUACAAUCUCCAUGCACUUGUCGAAAUGACAUUCGUUGAGUUCCUCAAACUUUGCGCGACUAAUUGUUGAGUGGAAGUUUAUAUCUUUAUGUAAAUAUUCUAUGUCAAUGGUGGUGUUGGUAUUGGAAGAAAGUAUCCUCUUUGCUUUCUCACAAGCAGACUUUAACUUCCUCACGGCUCGUGGGUCUCCACUAAUGUCAAUUUUAUGCUUCCUCAAGAAUUCCUUCACAAAAUGUUUCACCAUUGUAUUAUCAAAGUCUUGUCCCCCGAGGUGAGUAUCUCCACCAAUGGCCUUAACUUGGAUAUCAUCCGUGUCAAAUGUGAGAAUAGACACAUCCAAUGUACCACCACCUAAAUCAAAAACGAAAACAUUUCUAUAUUGAUGAUUAAAUUUAAACGGUUUCAUGUUAAGGCCAUAUGCAAUUGCUGCUGCAGUAGGCUCAUUGAUUAUUUGCUUAACAUUCAUGCCUGCAAUUUCACCUGCAUCUCUAGUAGCUUGACGUUGUGAGUUAUCAAAAUAAGCAGGAACUGUUAUAACAACAUCCUUCACUUUUGAUCCAAGGUAAGCUUCUGCAAUCUCACGCAUUUUUCUCAAUACCAUGGAUGAGAUUUCCUCAGCAGCAAAUUGUUUUUCUUCUCCGUUGUAAUUGACAACAAUCAUGGGUUUGUCAUCGAGACGGCCAAUUACUUUAAAUGGCCACAAUUUCAUAUCAUUUUGAACUAUAGGGUCACUAAACCUCCUACCAAUUAGCCUCUUAGCAUCUACAAAACAAACAGGAGUAGUGUGCACUGUAUGAAACAUCCGAUCGAUGAUCAUCAUAUAUACUCCCUCCGGUCCUUUUUAUAAGGAACACUUAGGACAAAAAAAUUGGUCAUUUUUAUAAGAAACUUUGACCAAUUUUCAAAUGUUUUAAAUGUUUAAUUUCACUUAUGCCCUUAUUUAUUAUGAGAGAGAAUUUAAAAAUAAGUAAGUUAGUUGAAUAAAGAGUAAUUAAAUAAGGGUAUACAUGGAAUAAAUUUAAAUUUAUAAGAGUAUUAAAUGAAAAUAACUAUGUUAAAUGUGCUUCAUUGGUCUGUGUGAUUUUUUUAAAGUGUUCUUUAUAAAAAGGACCGGAGGGAGUAUAUAUAAAUAAGCGAUAACUCUAAUUAAUUAUAUUGGGAUUUUGAUUAUUAAUCAAUUAUUUGCACAAUAGAUCCUUUGUAACAAAUAACGUAAUCAAUAUUAAUUACACACAUAUGAUUUAACACAAGUUCAAUUUAAUUUGGUUUCUCUUUUUCCGCAUUCUCUCUAUUUAUGACUUUUGAUUCGUUAACAUCAUAUGUCAAACUUUUUGGUCACUAUUUGUAGGAGACAAAUUAAAUCAAUCCAACCGUUAAAUUUAAAUUUUCCGUUAGGUAGAACAAGUGACUCAUAAAAAAUUGGGUAAAUGAUUGUUUAUCCCUCGUAAAGUUAGCAAAAUUUGAUUUACCCUCUGUGCAAUUUUUUUUCUGGUUAUCCCUGCAAUAUGAAGAUUUUAUAAUUUUGCCCCUGCCCCCUCAUUAAAUAGAAAAAAAAUUGUGCGGGGUAAAUCAAAUUUGGCUAACUUUUCGGAGUAAACAACCAUACCCUAAAAAAUUUAUAGAAUUUAAAAGCUAUUUAAAUGAAAAAUGCUAAGAAAUAUAGUAAUAUUUACCGAAGACAGUGUUGGUUGGGUUGUAAGCAGCCUUGUUGAAAGCAGGAUCACCAAUCAUCCUUUGAGAGUCGGUGAAGGCAACAUAAGAAGGUGUUAUUCUGUUCCCUUGCUCGUUAACUAUGAUCUCUAACUGAUCAUUCCUCCACACAGCAACACAAGAAUAUGUUGUUCCUAGGUCGAUUCCUAUUGCAACUUUCUUACUUGUUCCUGCCAUUUUAAAUGUCUUGUAAUUUUGAGAGAAGGAAAAGAAAUACUAAAGAUGAGAAUAAACAGUUAUUAUUUAGGUAAGUAUAUAUAGGCUUGUUGUUAUAUGCACUUCCACUCAAUUUAUUAAGUUCGUGAUUGGCUGCUUGACUUGUACAAUUAUCUUUCUUUUUUGACAAUCGUACAAAUAUUAUCAUUUUCAAUAUUGGAACAAUUGAUCAACUUGUUAA